UGUUUCCUUUUAGUCACAAACCUGGCUUUUCUUAAGCAAAGAUCUAGUUGCCUGAUAACAUCAAGUACUAUUUUUUGAUUAUCUUUAAUGUAUUGAAAAAGAAAUCACUGACCUUGUUUUUCUGUCAUGCUAAAUUAGAAGAGUGGAGUAAAAACAAGAAAAGGUGAAAUUGUGACCAGCCUAGCACAUGACAACCUUAAGAAAGUUAAGCCACAUAAGUAAUGGGAAUAGAAGUGGACACAGUGAAACUUGUGGCCAACAUAGCAUACACUAAGAACAAACUCUUCUAUCAUUUUCCCAAUACUGGAAGAGAAAGCAAGUAUUUAGGGAUUACUGUC
rnacentral:lncRNA from 1 species